rnacentral:rRNA from 1 species
GACGAACGCUGGCGGCGUGCUUAAUACAUGCAAGUCAACUUGACUUUAGAUAGCAAUAUCGAAAAGUAGGGUGGCGCACGGGUGCGUAACGCGUAGGGUAAUCUGCCCUGAGGUCUGACAUAACCCGUCGAAAGGCGGGCUAACAUCAGAUGACAUAUAAUCACGACAUCGUGGAAAUAUCAAAUCUUCGGAGCCUUGGGAUGAGCCUGCGUCUGAUUAGGUAGUUGGCGGAGUAAUAGCCCACCAAGCCUACGAUCAGUAGCUGGUCUGAGAGGAUGAUCAGCCACACUGGAACUGAGACACGGUCCAGACUCCUACGGGAGGCAGCAGUAAGGAAUAUUGC